GGUCACUUUAGCAGAACAUAUACUCAAAUUGGAACAAUACAGAUAAGAUUAGCAUGGCAUCUGUGCAAAGAUGACAUGCAAACUCAUGAAGCAUUCCAUAUUUUA
rnacentral:snRNA from 1 species